CAAGUCGAACGCACCAGGUAACUGGUGAGUGGCGGACGGGUGAGGAACACGUGGAUAACCUAUCCUACCAGUGGGGGAUACCUUCCAGAAAUGGGGGUUAAUCCCGCAUCCGAGGGCAUCGGUCGACCGAUGCUCUGAAAGCCCUUUGGGGCGCUGGAGGGGGGGUCCGCGGCCGAUUAGCUAGUUGGUGGGGUAAGAGCUUACCAAGGCGACGAUCGGUAGCUGGUCUGAGAGGAUGAUCAGCCACACUGGGAUUGAGAACGGCCCAGACUCCUACGGGGGGCAGCAGUGAGGAAUCUUCGGCAAUGGGGGCAACCCUGACCGAGCGACGCCGCGUGGGGGAUGAAGGCCUUCGGGUCGUAAACCCCUUUUGGGUGGGACGAGAAGCAGGACGGUACCACCCGAAGAAGCCUCGGCUAACUACGUGCCAGCAGCCGCGGUAAUACGUAGGAGGCGAGCGUUGUCCGGAGUUACUGGGCGUAAAGGGUGCGCAGGCGGCCGUGUAGGUAGAUGGUGAAAUCUCCUGGCUUACCUGGGAGGGGGCCAUCUAAACCACACGGCUUGAGGCUCGGGGAGGGGCGUGGAAUUCCGGGUGGAGCGGUGAAAUGCGUAGAGAUCCGGAGGAACACC
rnacentral:rRNA from 1 species